rnacentral:rRNA from 1 species
ACGAGGCACUACGGUGCUGAAGUAACAAAUGCCCUGCUUCCAGGAAAAGCCUCUAAGCAUCAGGUAACAACGAAUCGUACCCCAAACCGACACAGGUGGUCAGGUAGAGAAUACCAAGGCGCUUGAGAGAACUCGGGUGAAGGAACUAGGCAAAAUGGUGCCGUAACUUCGGGAGAAGGCACGCUGAUGGUAGGUGAAGUGACUUGCUCAUGGAGCUGAAAUCAGUCGAAGAUACCAGCUGGCUGCAACUGUUUAUUAAAAACACAGCACUGUGCAAACACGAAAGUGGACGUAUACGGUGUGACGCCUGCCCGGUGCCGGAAGGUUAAUUGAUGGGGUUAUCCGUAAGGAGAAGCUCUUGAUCGAAGCCCCGGUAAACGGCGGCCGUAACUAUAACGGUCCUAAGGUAGCGAAAUUCCUUGUCGGGUAAGUUCCGACCUGCACGAAUGGCGUAAUGAUGGCCAGGCUGUCUCCACCCGAGACUCAGUGAAAUUGAACUCGCUGUGAAGAUGCAGUGUACCCGCGGCAAGACGGAAAGACCCCGUGAACCUUUACUAUAGCUUGACACUGAACAUUGAGCCUUGAUGUGUAGGAUAGGUGGGAGGCUUUGAAGUGUGGACGCCAGUCUGCAUGGAGCCAACCUUGAAAUACCACCCUUUAAUGUUUGAUGUUCUAACGUAGACCCGUGAUCCGGGUUGCGGACAGUGUCUGGUGGGUAGUUUGACUGGGGCGGUCUCCUCCCAAAGAGUAACGGAGGAGCACGAAGGUUAGCUAAUCCUGGUCGGACAUCAGGAGGUUAGUGCAAUGGCAUAAGCUAGCUUGACUGCGAGCGUGACGGCGCGAGCAGGUGCGAAAGCAGGUCAUAGUGAUCCGGUGGUUCUGAAUGGAAGGGCCAUCGCUCAACGGAUAAAAGGUACUCCGGGGAUAACAGGCUGAUACCGCCCAAGAGUUCAUAUCGACGGCGGUGUUUGGCACCUCGAUGUCGGCUCAUCACAUCCUGGGGCUGAAGUAGGUCCCAAGGGUAUGGCUGUUCGCCAUUUAAAGUGGUACGCGAGCUGGGUUUAGAACGUCGUGAGACAGUUCGGUCCCUAUCUGCCGUGGGCGCUGGAGAAUUGAGGGGGGCUGCUCCUAGUACGAGAGGACCGGAGUGGACGCAUCACUGGUGUUCGGGUUGUCAUGCCAAUGGCAUUGCCCGGUAGCUAAAUGCGGAAAAGAUAAGUGCUGAAAGCAUCUAAGCACGAAACUUGCCCCGAGAUGAGUUCUCCCUGACUCCUUGAGAGUCCUGAAGGAACGUUGAAGACGACGACGUUGAUAGGUCGGGUGUGUAAGCGUAGCGAUACGUUGAGCUAACCGAUACUAAUGAACCGUGAGGCUUAACCUU